rnacentral:rRNA from 1 species
CUGGAGAAUUGAGGGGGGCUGCUCCUAGUACGAGAGGACCGGAGUGGACGCAUCACUGGUGUUCGGGUUGUCAUGCCAAUGGCACUGCCCGGUAGCUAAAUGCGGAAGAGAUAAGUGCUGAAAGCAUCUAAGCACGAAACUUGCCCCGAGAUGAUUUCUCCCUGAGACUUUAAGUCUCCUGAAGGAACGUUGAAGACGACGACGUUGAUAGGCCGGGUGUGUAAGCGCAGCGAUGCGUUGAGCUAACCGGUACUAAUGAACCGUGAGGCUUAACCUUA